UACGAAGGGGGCUAGCGUUGCUCGGAAUCACUGGGCGUAAAGGGUGCGUAGGCGGGUCUUUAAGUCAGGGGUGAAAGCCCGGAGCUCAACUCCGGAAUUGCCAUUGAAACUGUGAGACUGGAGUACGAGAGAGGUGAGUGGAAUUCCCAGUGUAGAGGUGAAAUUCGUAGAUAUUGGGAAGAACACCGGUGGCGAAGGCGGCUCACUGGCUCGUAACUGACGCUCAGGCGCGACAGCGUGGGGAUCAAACAGG
rnacentral:rRNA from 1 species